rnacentral:sRNA from 1 species
AAGCCUAAUGGACUAGGUAUCUUCAGGAUGAAGAUUUGAUUACUUAGGAUGAGUAGUCAGCAAGGAAGUAACAAUCUCUGGAUGAGAUUCGCCAGUCAGGAUGACAGGCUAGAAUGGACACCGCUAGGAUGGCGAUGAACAAAAAGGAAAUUGGUUAAAGGAUUUUUUAGCCACUAUCAAGGAAAGAUGCAGGGAGCACCUUAUCUCGAAGAGAUAAACAGUAGCCGGAUUGCUGCGAUAGAGACUUAACCCCGUCAGGCGAAAGCCUAGCGGGGUUUUCUUUUG